AUAUUCAGCAUCAAUAUCCGGCAACACGGUAUAUGUUCGUGAAUGUAUUGUGGCGGAAAACACAGUGGAGAUGUCAUGCAAGGAAGAGGAUCAAAAUGGCGAGAAGUUUCGGUUUUGUAACUGUGCUGGGGAUCUGUGUAAUGAGAACUGGACCACUGCUGGAGGCUCAGUAAUCAUCAAUACUCUGGGUCUUCUCUCCACUCUGACACUCUUCAUACUCUCAGAAUACAUCUUGUAAACUGCUGGAGGAUCAGUAAUCAUCAAUACUCUGGGUCUUUUCUCCACUCUGACACUUUUCAUACUCUCAGAAUACAUCUGUAACCUGCUGGAGGAUCAGUAAUCAUCAAUACUCUGUAUCUUCUUUCUACUCUCACACUCUUAAUACUCUAAGAAUGCAUCUUGUAAACUGCUGGGGGAUCAGUAAUCAUUUAUACUCUGGGUCUUGUCUCUACUCUGACACUCUUCAUACUCUCAGAAUACAUCUUGUAAACUGCUGGAGGAUCAGUAAUCAUCAAUACUCUGGGUCUUCUUUCCACUCUGACACUCUUCAUACUCUCAGAAUACAUCUUGUAAACUGCUGGGGGAUCAGUAUUCAGUAAUCAUCAUUACUCUGGUCUUCUCUUCAUACUCUAAGAAAACAUGUUGUGAAGAUAUUCUUUAAUGCUUGUUGUUUUAUUAACAAUAGUUUAGAUGCAAAUAAACAUAUCUAAAUUGG